AUGGCGGCCACCGUGGUCCUGUUGGAGCCUCCCUUGCCGUGGAAAGUCACAAGCUCCAGGGAGUGCCGGCACAACCUGAACAGAUGCCGCCUACACUGGAAGAAAAACAUAUUAUUUGAAUUAUAUAAAGUGAACCAUGCUACAAUGGAAAAGAACCAUGCGAUGAAAAAAGAAAGGCACAAAGAGCCGCUGGAUGAUGAUUUUGAUGAUUAUGACAAGACCAUUAUUAUGAAAGUGAACAUGAAUGUACUUCUAACACUUUGGUGUUCGUUUCUGGCAGCCUACCUUAGCAGAUUCUUCAGUACUGAAUUCGGACCUGUGGAGGAAGAAUAUGAGAGAAAUGUCCAGAACCAGCAUGAUGAUGAGUGCAGCAGAAGCAAUGGCGAAAGCCUGCCGGAUGGUGAAUCCACCUCAAUUGGUAGCUUACUUUAUGUGAUUACUGUGAGCAUACUGAAGUAUGAUUUGAUCGAGUCAUCUGCAGCAAAGCCUGAUUUGAUUGUGUCUGGACCUCUUGAAAAAAUCGAACAACGACCAUUACAGAAGCCUGAUUUGGUCGAGCCUGCACCUACAAAGAAACUUGAUUUGAUUGAGUCCAGUACUCCUAGGAAGGCUGAUUUGGUUCAGCCUGGGCCUGCAGGGGAGCUUCAUUUGGUUGAGUCCAGACCUUCUAGGAAUUCUCAACUGAUUGAGCCUGGACCUGCAAGGAAGCUUGAUUUUAAUCAACCCUGA
rnacentral:rRNA from 1 species